AAAUUGAAGAGUUUGAUCAUGGCUCAGAUUGAACGCUGGCGGCAGGCCUAACACAUGCAAGUCGAACGGUAACAGGAAACAGCUUGCUGUUUCGCUGACGAGUGGCGGACGGGUGAGUAAUGUCUGGGGAACUGCCUGAUGGAGGGGGAUAACUACUGGAAACGGUAGCUAAUACCGCAUAA
rnacentral:rRNA from 1 species